rnacentral:rRNA from 1 species
AGUCGAGGGGCAUCAGGAAGAAGCUUGCUUUCUUUGCUGGCGACCGGCGCACGGGUGAGUAACACGUAUCCAACCUGCCCUUUACUCGGGGAUAGCCUUUCGAAAGAAAGAUUAAUACCCGAUGGCAUAAUGAUUCCGCAUGGUUUCAUUAUUAAAGGAUUCCGGUAAAGGAUGGGGAUGCGUUCCAUUAGGUUGUUGGUGAGGUAACGGCUCACCAAGCCUUCGAUGGAUAGGGGUUCUGAGAGGAAGGUCCCCCACAUUGGAACUGAGACACGGUCCAAACUCCUACGGGAGGCAGCAGUGAGGAAUAUUGGUCAAUGGGCGCUAGCCUGAACCAGCCAAGUAGCGUGAAGGAUGAAGGCUCUAUGGGUCGUAAACUUCUUUUAUAUAAGAAUAAAGUGCAGUAUGUAUACUGUUUUGUAUGUAUUAUAUGAAUAAGGAUCGGCUAACUCCGUGCCAGCAGCCGCGGUAAUACGGAGGAUCCGAGCGUUAUCCGGAUUUAUUGGGUUUAAAGGGAGCGUAGGUGGACUGGUAAGUCAGUUGUGAAAGUUUGCGGCUCAACCGUAAAAUUGCAGUUGAUACUGUCAGUCUUGAGUACAGUAGAGGUGGGCGGAAUUCGUGGUGUAGCGGUGAAAUGCUUAGAUAUCACGAAGAACUCCGAUUGCGAAGGCAGCUCACUGGACUGCAACUGACACUGAUGCUCGAAAGUGUGGGUAUCAAACAGGAUUAGAUACCCUGGUAGUCCACACAGUAAACGAUGAAUACUCGCUGUUUGCGAUAUACAGUAAGCGGC